GGGGGGGGGGGGGGGGGGGGGGGGGGGGGGGGGGGGGGGGGGAGGGCGGGGGAGCUUGCUCCGCUGACGUUAGCGGCGGACGGGUGAGUAACCCGUGGAUACCCGACCUAUAAGACUGGGAUAACUGCGGGAAACCGGAGCUACUACCGGAUAACAUGGUGAACCGCAUGGUUAAACAGUGCAAUACGGUCUUGCUGUCCCUUCGAGUUCGAUCCGCGCAGCAUUAGCUAGUUGGUAAGGUAACGGCUUACCAAGGCAACGAUGCGUAGCCGACAUGAGAGGGUGAUCGGCCACACUGGAACUGAGACACGGUCCAGACUCCUACGGGAGGCAGCAGUAGGGAAUCUUCCGCAAUGGGCGAAAGCCUGACGGAGCAACGCCGCGUGAGUGAAGAAGGUCUUCGGAUCGUAAAACUCUGUUAUUAGGGAAGAACAAAUGUGUAAGUAACUAUGCACGUCUUGACGGUACCUAAUCAGAAAGCCACGGCUAACUACGUG
rnacentral:rRNA from 1 species